UACGAAGGGGACUAGCGUUGUUCGGAAUACUGGGCGUAAAGCGCACGUAGGCGGAUUUGUUAGUCAGGGGUGAAAUCCCGGGGCUCAACCUCGGAACUGCCUUUGAUACUGCAAGUCUCGAGUCCGAUAGAGGUGGGUGGAAUUCCUAGUGUAGAGGUGAAAUUCGUAGAUAUCAGGAGGAACACCGGUGGCGAAGGCGGGUCUCUGGGCCGAUACUGACGCUGAGGAGCGAAAGCGUGGGGGAGCAAACAGG
rnacentral:rRNA from 1 species